rnacentral:rRNA from 1 species
GACGAACGCUGGCGGCGUGCCUAAUACAUGCAAGUCGAGCGGAUUUUUGGGAGCUUGCUCCCGAAAAUUAGCGGCGGACGGGUGAGUAACACGUGGGCAACCUGCCUAUAAGACUGGGAUAACUUCGGGAAACCGGAGCUAAUACCGGAUAAUUCCUUUCCUCUCAUGAGGGAAGGCUGAAAGACGGUUUACGCUGUCACUUAUAGAUGGGCCCGCGGCGCAUUAGCUAGUUGGUGAGGUAACGGCUCACCAAGGCGACGAUGCGUAGCCGACCUGAGAGGGUGAUCGGCCACACUGGGACUGAGACACGGCCCAGACUCCUACGGGAGGCAGCAGUAGGGAAUCUUCCGCAAUGGACGAAAGUCUGACGGAGCAACGCCGCGUGAGUGAUGAAGGUUUUCGGAUCGUAAAACUCUGUUGUUAGGGAAGAACAAGUACGAGAGUAACUGCUCGUACCUUGACGGUACCUAACCAGAAAGCCACGGCUAACUACGUGCCAGCCGCCGCGGUAAGAC